rnacentral:piRNA from 2 species
UAAUGGGGUAACUCAUGAGACUAUGGUUA